rfam:Schistosoma mattheei strain Denwood, Zambia genome assembly, scaffold: SMTD_scaffold0009005
AUCCAGUUGACAAGUCCCACAUAGGACAAAACGCACUUCCUGAAU